AUUGAACGCUGGCGGCAGGCCUAACACAUGCAAGUCGAGCGAGCGGCGGACGGGUGAGUAAUGUAUGGGGACUGCCCGAUAGAGGGGGAUAACUACUGGAAACGGUGGCUAAUACCGCAUACUAUCGGAUAACCCAUAUGGGAUUAGCUAGUAGGUGGGGUAAAGGCUCACCUAGGCGACGAUCUCUAGCUGGUCUGAGAGGAUGAUCCGCCACACCUGGAAUGAAACACGGGCCAGAAUUCCACGGGGGGCGGAGGGGGGAAUAUUGCACAAUGGGCGCAAGCCUGAUACAGCCAUGCCGCGUGUAUGAAGAAGGCCUUAGGGUUGUAAAGUACUUUCAGCGGGGAGGCGUUACCCGCAGAAGAAGCACCGGCUAACUCCGUGCCAGCAGCCGCGGUAAUUC
rnacentral:rRNA from 1 species